rnacentral:rRNA from 1 species
GACCCCUUUAACUGUACUGAGAACUUCUAUAACAUUAUAGAACCUUUUAUGCUAAAACUAGUAACAAGAGUCAACCCCUCUCUACAAUGCAACUACAAGCCAGCAAGAACCCACCACUGGCAACUAACAGAUCUAAACAAGAGUAGCAACUAUACCAGAAAACUCUACUUUACUCACUGUUAACCUUACACUAGAGCAUUUCAAGAAAGAUUAAAAGAAAAAGAAGGAACUCGGCAAACUUUAGCCCCGCCUGUUUACCAAAAACAUCGCCUCUUGUCCAUAUAAGAGGUCCAGCCUGCCCAGUGACUCUUGUUCAACGGCCGCGGUAUCCUAACCGUGCGAAGGUAGCGUAAUCACUUGUCUUCUAAAUAAAGACCAGUAUGAAAGGCAUCACGAGAGCUAAACUGUCUCCUUUCCCUAAUCAGUGAACCUAAUCUCCCCGUGAAGAAGCGGGGGUUAUUAUAUAAGACGAGAAGACCCUAUGGAGCUUUAAACAUCACAACACCUGCCUCACACUUUUAUCUACCCAGGUAUACCCUCUCACAGCACGCUGAUUGUAUGUUUUUGGUUGGGGUGACCGCGGAGAAAAACUAAUCCUCCGCAAUGAAAGGGAUCUUCCCUAAACAAUAAGCCACAACUUUAUGUAUCCACAAAUUGACAUUCAUUGACCCAAUACAUUUGAUUAACGAACCAAGUUACCCUAGGGAUAACAGCGCAAUCCACUUCAAGAGCCCCUAUCGACAAGUGGGCUUACGACCUCGAUGUUGGAUCGGGGUAUCCUAGUGGUGUAGCCGCUA